rnacentral:rRNA from 1 species
GACGAACGCUGGCGGCGUGCCUAAUACAUGCAAGUCGAGCGGACCGGAUUGGGGCUUGCCUUGAUUCGGUCAGCGGCGGACGGGUGAGUAACACGUGGGCAACCUGCCCGCAAGACCGGGAUAACUCCGGGAAACCGGAGCUAAUACCGGAUAACACCGAAGACCGCAUGGUCUUCGGUUGAAAGGCGGCCUUUGGGCUGUCACUUGCGGAUGGGCCCGCGGCGCAUUAGCUAGUUGGUGAGGUAACGGCUCACCAAGGCGACGAUGCGUAGCCGGCCUGAGAGGGUGACCGGCCACACUGGGACUGAGACACGGCCCAGACUCCUACGGGAGGCAGCAGUAGGGAAUCUUCCGCAAUGGGCGAAAGCCUGACGGAGCGACGCCGCGUGAGCGAAGAAGGCCUUCGGGUCGUAAAGCUCUGUUGUGAGGGACGAAGGAGCGUCGUUCGAAGAGGGCGGCGCGGUGACGGUACCUCACGAGAAAGCCCCGGCUAACUACGUG